UUUCCGUAGGUGAACCUGCGGAAGGAUCAUUAUUGGAUUUUGAAACUUCAGGCUGCUGCUGGCUCUCCUUGGAGGGCAUGUGCACGCUUGUUGUCCAUUAUUUCUCCCACUGUGCACAAAUUGUAGACCUUUCAGUAGGCCUAUGUUGUUUUUCACAAUCUCUGAAUGUAAUAGAAUGGUUUUGAAUCUUGGGAAAUACAAUACAACUUUCAGCAACGGAUCUCUUGGCUCUC
rnacentral:misc_RNA from 1 species